UAACGCAGCUCAAAACUGCAUUUCGAUAU
rnacentral:sRNA from 1 species